ACGCUCGACACCUACGGGAGGCUGCAGUGGGGAAUAUUGCACAAUGGGGGAAACCCUGAUGCAGCGACGCCGCGUGGAGGAAGAAGGUCCUCGGAUUGUAAACUCCUGUUGUUGGGGAAAAAGAGGAUGGUACCCAACAAGGAAGUGACGGCUAACUACGUGCCAGCAGCCACGGUAAUCUGAGCGGGCUGGCAAGGC
rnacentral:rRNA from 1 species